rnacentral:tRNA from 1 species
GAAGAGAUGGCUGAGAGGUUUAUAGCGGCAAAUUGCUAAUUUGUUAUAUAUGGAAAUAUAUCGAGGGUUCGAAUCCCUCUCUCUUCA